AUUGAACGCUGGCGGCAUGCUUUACACAUGCAAGUCGAACGGUAACAGGCCGCAAGGUGCUGACGAGUGGCGAACGGGUGAGUAAUGCAUCGGAACGUGCCCAGGCGUGGGGGAUAACGCAGCGAAAGCUGCGCUAAUACCGCAUACGAACUAUGGAUGAAAGCGGGGGACCGUAAGGCCUCGCGCGAUUGGAGCGGCCGGGGGCAGAUUAGGUAGUUGGUGGGGUAAGGGCUGACCAAGCCAACGAUCUGUAGCUGGUCUGCAAGGACGACACGCCACACUGGGACUGAGACACGGCCCAGACUGCUACGGGAGGCAGCAGUGGGGAAUUUUGGACAAUGGGCGCAAGCCUGAUCCAGCAAUGCCGCGUGCAGGAAGAAGGCCUUCGGGUUGUAAACUGCUUUUGUACGGACCGAAAAGGCUCUGGAUAAUACCUGGGGCUCAUGACGGUAACGUAAGAAUAAGCACCGGCUAACUACGUGCCAGCAGCCGCAGUAAGAC
rnacentral:rRNA from 1 species